rnacentral:rRNA from 1 species
UCUUCUGCUCGAUGAAUUUAAUCUUAAAUGGCCGCGGUAUACUGACCGUGCUAAGGUAGCAUAAUAACUUGUCACUUAAUUGGUGAAUAGAAUGAACGAAUAUACAAAAAUAAAGCUUUUUUAAAUUUUUUAUAUGAAAAUUAAUAUUUAAGUGAAGAAGCUUAAAUUUACAAGAAGGACAAGAAGACCCUAAGAGCUUUAAAUUUUAUAAUAUAAUGUAUUACAUAUUUUUGGUUGGGGCGACCUAGAAUCUAACUCAUUCUAUAGACAUAUGAUNAAUUUAUCUUAUAAAUUAUUCUUGACAUAUUUGAAAUAUAGUUACCUUAGGGAUAACAGGCUAAUUUAUUUUUAGAGCUCUUAUCAAAAAAAAAGAUUGGCACCUCGAUGUUGGCUU